UACGGAGGAUGCAAGCGUUAUCCGGAAUGAUUGGGCGUAAAGCGUCCGCAGGUGGCUGUGUAAGUCUGCUGUCAAAGAGCAAAGCUCAACUUUGUAAAGGCAGUGGAAACUACACGGCUAGAGUGCGUUCGGGGCAGAGGGAAUUCCUGGUGUAGCGGUGAAAUGCGUAGAGAUCAGGAAGAACACCGGUGGCGAAGGCGCUCUGCUAGGCCGCAACUGACACUGAGGGACGAAAGCUAGGGGAGCGAAAGGG
rnacentral:rRNA from 1 species